rnacentral:sRNA from 1 species
UGGCCUUCCUCCAGUUCCCUGCCUCUGAUAUUGACUAAGCCACGGGACUGUUGGCACACCUCCUCUCUGCAUUUGGAGUAUCGUCUUCAUAACGCUAAUUUCCAUGCAGCUCCUUCCAUAGCCAUUUGGUCUCAUGAAACUUGGCAGGUCUGAAUUUGGAUUUGACUUUUUCUAUGUGGUCGGUGGUAUGGCACUUAUAGUUACCUAAAAGUUCUUUGACACUGGUGGGACCUGCCCAAUCAAAACAGAUGCAAGAGUGUUUUUCCUUCUUGGUCGUAGAAAGCAUUUGAGGUGGAACGCCAAGAGCUACUGGCCAGUAAUAAGAAGAAAUGGGAGCGAGCCCUUCAGGCUCAUAAUGCCAAAGAGCUGGAGUAUCUUAACAACCGCAUGAAGAAAGUAGAGGACUAUGAGAAGCAGCUGAACAGGCAGAGGAUCUGGGAUUGCGAAGAAUACAACAUGAUCAAGAUCAAGCUGGAGCAGGAUGUGCAGAUUCUUGAGCAGCAGCUUCAGCAGAGGAAAGCAAUUUAUCAGCUAAACCAAGAGAAAUUAGAGUACAACUUGCAGGUGCUGAAGAAGAGAGAUGAAGAAAGCACAGUAAUUAAAUCCCAGCAGAAGAGGAAGAUCAAUCGCCUGCAUGAUAUACUUAACAAUCUGAGAUCAAAAUAUGCCAAGCAAAUAAAGCAGUUUCAGGAGGAGAACCAGUCUCUAACCUCGGACUACAAACGUCUUGUGAUGCAAUUCAAGGAGCUACAGAAAGCCAUGAGGCAUUUUGCUCUUAUUGAUGAUGAGAAGUUUCGGGAGAUUUGGCUGAUGAAUGAAGAGGAGGCGAAGGACCUAAUAGCCAGAGCCUUUGAUGUGGACAGGAUCAUCCACACCCAUCAUCUGGGGCUUCCCUGGGCAGCACCUGAUUUCUGGUUCCUGAACAAUGUUGGGCCUAUUUCUCAGCAGCCCCAGAAGUCCGCCACACAGAUAGUAGAAGAAAUGCUUAUGCGCU